CAAUGGACAGCCACCUCUGAGAAGCGUUAGGCAGCCCGAGAAGGGGAAAUCCUGAAGGCAGUGGGGGGAGGUGGCCACCAGCGACUUGCCACCCCCUCCCGAGACAGAGCCAGCGCAGGAGGGUGUGACCAGCAUCAGGGAGGCGGGGAGACACAGUGACAGGACGGUGACAGUUUGGGUGUCCUUUCCGCCCGUGCGCGCGACGGGACGGAGGGACAGGGGUUUCCUCCUUGGGAACGCUGUCUGUCUGGCAGCCAAGGAAGGCCGCGACCUCUGGGGAUCCCCGCCCGUAUCGAGCGCCCCUUGCCAAGGGAACCUGGCUCGGCGAGCGGUGCGCGCAGGCUCGGAGGCGUGAGAGCGGGCCGGGCGGCGGCGCGGCCGGGAGCGGGUGACUCACCGGGCGGGGGCGGCUGGGGGCGGCUAGGGGCGGCCGCGGAGCCAACUGCAGCAGCAGCGGGCCCAGCCUGCCCCGCAACAGCCAGUGCGGCUCCUGGAGGGAAAGGAGCAAGGCGGCCCCGCAGGUGUGGCGCGGCCCUGGGAGGGCGCGUGCGAGCGCUGCUUUGUUUGGUGCCCGCACAGCCCCGGGCUCCAGGCCUGAGCGCCAGCCUUCCCGAGCUGAGUCACGGCUGCAGAGCCCGCGGGCGGCCAUACGGCCCCGCCCGGAAGGAUGAGGCCCUUUCCUGAAGCUGGCGAAUCGGAUGCGGUGGCAGGGACAAAAGCCAGGGGAAGGUGGCUUCUAUUCUACAAAGCCCUUUAGGGAAGGGGGGAGUCAGGCCGCCCUCACCCAGUGCAGGUCCGUCACGAUGGUCACCCAGAGCACUCACGCAGAAAGCCAACUUGCAGCCGCCAGCCCUGAGGAUGCCGCCCCCAAAGGGCUCAUUGCUCUAAUCACCCGUCCAGGGGCUUGAGGCAAAGCUCCAAGACAGACCUGUAGCAGCAUGGCCCCAAAAGUUCCUCUGCUGCCCCAGUCCCAUACCUGCCUGAGGUAUGGGGGUUCAGGCUGAGUCGGCUGACCUGGAGUCAUCUGGAAGCCUUGUCAGAAAUGCAGAUUCUGCAGUGCUGUUCCCAGAGGAUCAGAUUCAGCAGAACUGGGUGUUGGAUAUUAUAUGAAGAGAUUUGCAAGUGUUAUUUUACGCAAUUCGCACUUUACAAAGGAGGAAACUGCAGCGCAGGGGGCGAGGUACCAAGGUUGCCCCAUCUCGGUCCAGGCCUGCUCCCUGCAAGCCACUCGCCCUUGACCACGCCUCCUCUCUCCUGAUUGGCUGUCAGGCAUGAGUCAGAAGGAAGCCAUCUGCAACCCAAGGAGAGAGCUCUUGCCAGACUCUGACCCUGCUGGCAUCUUGGUCUUGAUUUUGGAUUUUCUAGCCUCCAGAUCCAUGAAAAAAUAAAUUCCUUUCCUGAUGUUUAUAAUAUUUUGUUAUGGCAGAUUAAGCUCACUAAGACAAUAAUCAAAGACCUAUAAAACCGUGAACUUCUUGAGACAAUGAGGAUGCCUCUAACAGACUUGGGAAGAAAUCCUGCACAAAGAGCCGGGGAAAAAAGGGAAGAAAAGCACAUAGAAUACUCCUUCAAGGCAGGCAUUGGCAGACCUUCCACCGUGCACCAGGCUCUGUGCUAAGAUUCACCCUGGAGUAACCCUGCCUCUGGGGGUGAAGUUGCUAUAUCUGGCUGCGUUUUGGCCAGCUGACCCUCUAGGCAGCCCUUAAUUCUUGCUUCUCAAACUUACUUCCAAGGACAGAGAAAGAUGACCACUGCCCUCACCCCACUAAAGAAGCCCCAGCACUUAGCAAGCACUUAUGGCCCAGAGCAGACUGUCUCUACUUCAUUUCACUCUCCACACCCAGACUGGGACCACACUUGGAAAAGAACCAGCCAGUCCUGGAGGCUGCAUAUUAUGGAUAGCAGGACUCCACUCACAUCUCAAAGCUCCUCCCUGCCCAUUCCCAUGGUCCCUCCAGCCCUUGGGCAAUGCUACCAACAAGAAGGAGAAAUGAGCUGGAUUUCACUUCCUUUGGAGCAGGUGUGAAUAAACAGAAUUGUCCCAAACUUGGGCAGCAGAAGUGGGGGAAAAGAAGAAAGGCAACCGGCCUGUAAUCCCAGCAUUUUGGGGGGCCCAGGCAGGCGGAUCACCUGAGGUCAGGAGUUUGAGAACAACCUGGCCAACAUGGUGAAACCCAUCUCUACUAAAAAAAUACAAAAAUUAGCCAGGCAUGAUAUCUACUUGGGAGGCUGAGGCAGGAGAAUCUCUUGAACCCGAGAGGUGGAGUUUGCAGUGAGCUGAGAUCAUGCCACUGCACUCCAGCCUGGGUGACAGAGCGAGACUUCAUCUCAAAAAAAAAAAAAAAAAAGAAACAGAA